rnacentral:rRNA from 1 species
AUGAGCAGGAGAAAUUGGACGGGGAAUCCGCGCUGCUCUUUUUGCAGCGAGAAAGACAUGUCCCAGCAUCUCUUCUUAUGCCCAUUGGCUAGGAUGAUUUGGAGAACUGUGAGAUCAGUCUUUGGCACCGAGUUGUGCCCUAACAACAUUUGGCAGUUUUAUUCGUGGUGCUACACUUUUUUACCCGAUGGGGGCAGAUUCUAUAGUUUUGGUCUUGCAGCUAUAUGCUGGUCCAUUUGGAACUGUCGCAAUCAAGCAACCUUUGGGUUUAAAUUUCUUAAAAUCCCUUUUGAGGUGGUGUUCUCUUCAUGUGUAUUUCUGGAUUAUGGGGCAGGUUUGCUGAAGAGUGAUGACCAGGAGGCAAUGUGGCGUGGGGCAAUGAUGCUCAGGGAUAAUGUGAAGAACAUGAUGCGUAUCUGUGCUGCUGCUCAAGAUGAUGGUGUGAUGGACUGA